ensembl:lncRNA
UUUGUUAUAUUCUCAGUUAUGGUAUGCUGACCAUGUGGGCACAUAUGUGGCUUGAGGGCACCCACGCAAGUAUUCAACAGGGCACUUUUAAUACGGGGGCAGUUGAGCUGCCUGCCUAUGCUGCCUUGUGACAGCUGUUGUUUGAAGGCUUCUUGGCCCACCCUCUACUAUUGUGGGCUGAUGUUUUCUACUAGAUUACAUUUGCUUUGAAAUACAUUACAGUCCCAGCUCUCCUGAGACGUGAAAGCUGUGUUCUUGCAGUUACACUAUGCAACUUAGUCUGGAAAGUAGCCAGAUAAUGCAGUCACAACUGUAUUUGUGAAUAUGACAGUAGGGGUUGAAAAAGAUAUUAAACCUUAGGCUUUAGACCUUAAGCCAGUCUGUAGUUGACUCGGGUCAGAACAGGGUGAACAAGAACGUUUCUGCCAUCCUGUGACUUCACUGUGUUGCAUCCGAGAGGUAGUCCACGGUGGUCCCCUGUGUCUGAGCAGCACAAAACAGCUUCCAUAGCAGCACCUGGUCACUAGGUGCUCAUCCCUACAAUUAAUAACAUUGUCAACCGUGCUGAUAAUGUUAUUAAUCACAGGGUGGCAGCACAUUCAAGUUUCAGCCUAAUCAGGAUUCAAAAUUCUUAUGUCCUCAGUGCUGUACAUUCAUAAAUGCAUGUUUCCUGCCCCAAAUGCUUUGGAACAGCUUCAGUGGGAUGUUGGAUUGUCUGGUUGAUUCAGUGUCUUUGUACCUUGAGGAUCCCCUCACCCUGAGCACAAGUCUGUCAAAGUCAAUUCUAACAGCUGGUGAAGCCCUUCAGUGCUCAGAUUGCAGGAGCCUGAUAGAAAUAUCCCAAGGUAAAUACUGCUCAUGGUCCCCUACUGCAAAUUAUUCACUUUGCAUUGAGAUAAAGUCUGUAUUAUACUGGUGAAGAUAUUGCUGAACGUCUUGUAGCUGAUGCCCAUAGCAAACCAGAAUAUUAAAUUGUGCCAUGACCAUAUGCCAAUUCAUCAGAGAGGUAAGAUGCA